UCCCUGGUGGUCCAGUGGCUAAGACUCUGUGCUCCUCAUGCUGCGGGCCCAGGUUCAAUCCCUGGUCAGGGAA
rnacentral:tRNA from 1 species